rnacentral:rRNA from 1 species
GAUGCCGCUAGCUACAGGCUUAACACAUGCAAGUCGCGGGGCAUCAUGGAGGUUGCUUGCAAUUUCUGAUGGCGACCGGCGCACGGGUGAGUAACGCGUAUCCAACCUUCCCAUUACUACGGCAUACCCCGUUGAAAGGCGGCCUAAUUCCGUAUGCAGUCCGAAGCAGUCAUCUAAUUUGGACGAAAGGUAUAUUCUAUCGGUAAUGGAUGGGGAUGCGUCCGAUUAGCCAGCCGGCGGGGUAACGGCCCACCGGGGCAUUGAUCGGUAGGGGUUUGAGAGGAAGGUCCCCCACACUGGAACUGAGACACGGUCCAGACUCCUACGGGAGGCAGCAGUGAGGAAUAUUGGUCAAUGGGCGUAAGCCUGAACCAGCCAAGUAGCGUGCAGGAUGACGGCCCUAUGGGUUGUAAACUGCUUUUAUGCGGGGAUAAAGUUGGGGACGUGUCCCUUUUUGCAGGUACCGCAUGAAUAAGGACCGGCUAAUUCCGUGCCAGCAGCCGCGGUAAUACGGAAGGUCCGGGCGUUAUCCGGAUUUAUUGGGUUUAAAGGGAGCGUAGGCAGUUUUUUAAGCGUGCUGUGAAAUGUACCGGCUCAACCGGUGAUGUGCAGCGCGAACUGGGAAUCUUGAGUACGCAGUAAGCAGGCGGAAUUCGUGGUGUAGCGGUGAAAUGCUUAGAUAUCACGAAGAACUCCGAUUGCGUAGGCAGCUUGCUGUAGCGUAACUGACGCUGAAGCUCGAAAGUGCGGGUAUCGAACAGGAUUAGAUACCCUGGUAGUCCGCACGGUAAACGAUGGAUGCCCGCUGUCGGCCUUUUUUGGUCGGUGGCCAAGCGAAAGCGUUAAGCAUCCCACCUGGGGAGUACGCCGGCAACGGUGAAACUCAAAGGAAUUGACGGGGGCCCGCACAAGCGGAGGAACAUGUGGUUUAAUUCGAUGAUACGCGAGGAACCUUACCCGGGCUUGAACUGCCAUUGACUUGAAUAGAGAUAUUCAUUCCCUUCGGGGCCAUUGGUGGAGGUGCUGCAUGGUUGUCGUCAGCUC